rnacentral:rRNA from 1 species
AGUUAGCGGCGGACGGGUGAGUAACACGUGGGCAACCUGCCUGUAAGACUGGGAUAACUUCGGGAAACCGGAGCUAAUACCGGAUAAUUCUUUCCUACUCAUGUAGGAAAGCUGAAAGACGGUUUCGGCUGUCACUUACAGAUGGGCCCGCGGCGCAUUAGCUAGUUGGUGAGGUAACGGCUCACCAAGGCGACGAUGCGUAGCCGACCUGAGAGGGUGAUCGGCCACACUGGGACUGAGACACGGCCCAGACUCCUACGGGAGGCAGCAGUAGGGAAUCUUCCGCAAUGGACGAAAGUCUGACGGAGCAACGCCGCGUGAGUGAUGAAGGCUUUCGGAUCGUAAAACUCUGUUGUUAGGGAAGAACAAGUAUCGGAGUAACUGCCGGUACCUUGACGGUACCUAACCAGAAAGCCACGGCUAACUACGUGCCAGCAGCCGCGGUAAUACGUAGGUGGCAAGCGUUGUCCGGAAUUAUUGGGCGUAAAGCGCGCGCAGGCGGUUCCUUAAGUCUGAUGUGAAAGCCCACGGCUCAACCGUGGAGGGUCAUUGGAAACUGGGGAACUUGAGUGCAGAAGAGAAGAGUGGAAUUCCACGUGUAGCGGUGAAAUGCGUAGAGAUGUGGAGGAACACCAGUGGCGAAGGCGACUCUCUGGUCUGUAACUGACGCUGAGGCGCGAAAGCGUGGGGAGCAAACAGGAUUAGAUACCCUGGUAGUCCACGCCGUAAACGAUGAGUGCUAAGUGUUAGAGGGUUUCCGCCCUUUAGUGCUGCAGCUAACGCAUUAAGCACUCCGCCUGGGGAGUACGGCCGCAAGGCUGAAACUCAAAGGAAUUGAC